UGGGGAAUCUUCCGCAAUGGACGAAAGUCUGACGGAGCAACGCCGCGUGAGUGAAGAAGGUUUUCGGAUCGUAAAACUCUGUUUUCAGGGACGAAUGUGCGAUGUGUAAAUAAUGCAUUGUAAUGACGGUACCUGAGUAGAAAGCC
rnacentral:rRNA from 1 species